AACCUGGUUGAUCCUGCCAGUAGUCAUAUGCUUGUCUCAAAGACUAAGCCAUGCAUGUCUAAGUAUAAGUAUUAUACAGCGAAACUGCGAAUGGCUCAUUAAAACAGUUAUAAUUUAUUUGAUAAUCGAAUUUACAUGGAUAACCGUGGUAAUUCUAGAGCUAAUACAUGCUGGUAGGCCCGACUUUUUGGAAGGGCGGUAUUUAUUAGAUAACAAACCAAUAUUCCUCUGGUCUAUUGUGGUGAAUCAUAAUAACUGAUCGAAUCGCAAGGUUUUUAACCGGGAUAAGUCAUUCAAGUUUCUGCCCCAUCAGCUUUCGAUGGUAGUGUACUGGACUACCAUGGCUUUUACGGGUAACGGAGGAUUAGGGUUCGAUUCCGGAGAGGGAGCCUGAGAAACGGCUACCACAUCUAAGGAAGGCAGCAGGCGCGUAAAUUACCCAAUCCUGACUCAGGGAGGUAGUGACAAGAAAUAACGGACCGAGGCCUUCGGGCUUCGGGAUUGCAAUGAGCCGAAUUUACACCCCUUAGCGAAGAUCGAAUGGAGGGCAAGUCUGGUGCCAGCAGCCGCGGUAGUUCCAGCUCCAAUAGCGUAU
rnacentral:rRNA from 1 species